rnacentral:ncRNA from 1 species
ACCGGGGAGCUCGGACCACCAUGCCGGGCUGAGAGGGUAGCUGUCGCCAUAGAUUUUCAUGGAGGUGCUACCGACCCGCUUGAACCUGAACUGGGUAAUGCCAGCGGAGGGAGAGAAAUGAA